UGAAUUCAUAUAGAAUAACAUUUCCUGGUGUCACAGGUUAAGGAAAGUACUUUUCCAUCCAUUAAAGUAAAUCUUAACAUGUCAUUAUGUAUGCGAUGGUCACAGUCAUGCUUUGACCUAUGCUAAUAAUCAUAUCCAUUUCUUUGUGUGUCAUGUAAAAGACUAUUUUAUUUACAAAACAGCACAGCGUUUGUUUUAUUGCUGAAGCUUUAGCCGAUUUGUCCAAAUAACAAACUUUUGACAUCUUUGAGACUCUUAAGAAAUUUCAUACAAACUUAUAUCAUUGUUUCCUGGUGUUUAACUUCAUAUAAAAGCAGUUCAGCCUUCUUAAGAAUGGUAAAAUUUUAAUAUCUAAAAGAAGAAGGAUGGGCCCUUCUGGACAUGGGUCCAAUACCUUGGUGGUGGUCCAAAAUAUGAAAACAUACCGAAAGCAUGUCAAUUUCACCAUGUAUAUAAAUUUGGGGAGUGGUGAUGAUCUACAUUUUGAGUCUGUUGCAGGCAGUGCCAUUAAAAGUAGCCAUUUUGUCAAGCAAUCUAACUUCUUAAUACCAGAAAUUGUGGUGCUGACAAACAGAAGCCUGGUGAACGUGUCUUACAAAGAAAACUGUCGUAUUAGAUAUCCAACAUAUUCUUCGAAACGUUGUCAAGCUGGGGUCUUUCCACAGACACAAACGCUUUACUCUCUGUGUUUUGUUCUCAUAGCUAGCUGCUUCCUUCUCAACCAAAAAAAUCUCAAGUUACCUGAAACUUAGUUCCUAUCUCUGUUUCUCUGUGCUUUCCACACGGGCAAAUGUUAUUUUCAACUACCCAUACUAUGACCAUAAUGUCAGCCAUGCCCGGGUAGAAGCCUUGCUGCCUCAGGCUGUUGGAAGACUCUUUAAACAAAACAGAUGAAUUGAAUGCUUAAGGGAGUAGCAGUUGGAAAAUAAUGGAAACUUAAAAAGUGGGCAUGAGGCCAGUUACCAGAAUUCACAAAUAUUUACUGAAUAUCUGCUGUGUGUCAGGCACCAUUCAAAGUGCUGAGGAUACAAAAAUGAAUAUACUCAGCAAAGUUCCGCUUCUCAAGGAGCAUACCUUCUGGUGAAUUCAGGCACACAGUAGGUGGAGGUGAUUAAACUCCAUAAUCAGCUAACUUACGAGAAGAAAAUUCUCAUAAAUAAUCUUCGUGGGCCUGAGUCAAGCAGUUAAAAGCACUUGAGAGUCGAGCUGAGGUGUCCCCGAAGAGGAAGAACAUUCUGCCUGUGGACAGGGGCUUCUGCUCAUGCCUGUGAGUUCCAGACCACUCUUCCUGACCACCUGCCCUACAGACUUCUGACUUUCUAGCCACCCCUACGCCCCCAUGGCGUAACUGGGUACGCCAUGCCUCGCAAUAAAUCUCCUA